GGAGGAGAAGUAAGCCUGAGAGAAAUAAUAGCAUUUAAAAAUGAUGCAAAAGUGUUUAUCUGUACAGGACUCAUGGUUAUGUUGUUGCUGUGACAACGAACACUUGUAACAAGCAACAAAAAGAAGAAAAGAGGAGGUGGACAGCGUCUCUGACCCCAGUGUGAGAUGUUUCCAUGUUAAUCCGCCAACAGCUGGAGGCUCCAAGCACUGCUGACCUGUAUGACGUCACAAGCAAAACCAUAUAAUGGUUAAGUUGGAUUCAACCAGGUGGCCUGCACUAUCAGCGUGACUUACGAUUAGAGCAACAUCUUUAUUAUAAUUUAUUAGCUUUUUUUUGGUUCAUUGUUGUAACACUAAAAGGUUUUAUCUGGGAGUGGUAGUCACAGCCUUCCUGCAGCUGUCCAUCUGAAACUCACAGCCCACCAGUGAAAGGCGCAAAAACAAGUCGCCAGCAUUGAAUUGUCUGUGGAAAAGUUUCUUUUGGUUGUAUUCGGGCCAUUGAAAGAAAAAAAAUGAAAGGGCCUAGUUACGUGAUGUAAAAUUCAGGAAAAAAACAAACAAAUUUACAAUAAAAACAGCAAUAACACAUAAGAAGUGUUAAUAGAAAACCGCACUUAUUUGCAAUCAGACAACAAAUUACAAGCUUAUUUUCACUGAAAUGAGUCCUGGAGUAAUACACAGGCCACUACAUGCAGCUGGCUGUGAGGUGUGUGUAACACGUGAUUAAAAUAAAAACCAAAAACGUACAUAUUCAAUAUACACUUUGCUCGCAUGAAAUUAGCUUUCUUAUAAGAUGUUUUUUUUUGUUUUGUUUUUGUGGUUUUUUUUCCUUUUGAACUAAAAAAAAAUCAGCUUUUUUCUGGCCCACGUUUGGCCCUCUUGUCGCUCAGUUCUGGAAUUUGGCAAUCACCAGAUGUGGCCCAGAAGUCAUAAACACAGCUGGCAGCUGGCACAGGUGGACCUCGGCAGCCACUGAGUCACAGGCACACAUCUGGGUUAUAUUUUGCAUAUUUGAACCAGCAGAUGUUUUGCUACUUUAGCCUUAAAA